AUUGAACGCUGGCGGCAGGCCUAACACAUGCAAGUCGAGCGAUCGGCGGACGGGUGAGUAAUGUAUGGGGACUGCCCGAUAGAGGGGGAUAACUACUGGAACCGGUAGCUAAUACCGCAUACUAUCGGAUAACCCAUAUGGUAUUAGCUAGUAGGUGAGGUAAUGGCUCACCUAGGCGACGUUCCCUAGCUGGUCUGAGAGGAUGAUCAGCCACACUGGGACUGAGAAACGGCCCAGACGCCUACGGAGUCAGCAGUGGGGAAUAUGGCACAAUGGGAGCAAGCCUGAUGCAGCCAUGCCGCGUGUAUGAAGAAGGCCCUAGGGGUGUAAAGUACUUGCAGUCGGGAGGCGUUAACGACAGAAGAAGCACAGGAUAACUCCGUGCCAGCAGCCGCGGUAAUUC
rnacentral:rRNA from 1 species